rnacentral:rRNA from 1 species
AAAGAUGGCUCCAUGCCGCCCUAAACACGCCCGAUCCCAUCUGAUCUCGCAAGCUAAGCAGGGUCGGGCCUGGGUAGUACUUGGAUGGGAGACCACCUAGAAAGACCAGGUGCUGUAGGCG